AGAGUUUGAUCAUGGCUCAGGACGAACGCUGGCGGCGUGCUUAACACAUGCAAGUCGAACGAUGAACCACUUCGGUGGGGAUUAGUGGCGAACGGGUGAGUAACACGUGGGCAAUCUGCCCUGCACUCUGGGACAAGCCCUGGAAACGGGGUCUAAUACCGGAUACUGACCCGCUUGGGCAUCCAAGCGGUUCGAAAGCUCCGGCGGUGCAGGAUGAGCCCGCGGCCUAUCAGCUUGUUGGUGAGGUAAUGGCUCACCAAGGCGACGACGGGUAGCCGGCCUGAGAGGGCGACCGGCCACACUGGGACUGAGACACGGCCCAGACUCCUACGGGAGGCAGCAGUGGGGAAUAUUGCACAAUGGGCGAAAGCCUGAUGCAGCGACGCCGCGUGAGGGAUGACGGCCUUCGGGUUGUAAACCUCUUUCAGCAGGGAAGAAGCGAAAGUGACGGUACCCGCAGAAGAAGCGCCGGCUAACUACGUGCCAGCAGCCGCGGUAAUACGUAGGGCGCGAGCGUUGUCCGGAAUUAUUGGGCGUAAAGAGCUCGUAGGCGGCUUGUCACGUCGGUUGUGAAAGCCCGGGGCUUAACCCCGGGUCUGCAGUCGAUACGGGCAGGCUAGAGUUCGGUAGGGGAGAUCGGAAUUCCUGGUGUAGCGGUGAAAUGCGCAGAUAUCAGGAGGAACCACCGGUGGCGAAGGCGGAUCUCUGGGCCGAUACUGACGCUGAGGAGCGAAAGCGUGGGGAGCGAACAGGAUUAGAUACCCUGGUAGUCCACGCCGUAAACGGUGGGCACUAGGUGUGGGCGACAUUCCACGUCGUCCGUGCCGCAGCUAACGCAUUAAGUGCCCCGCCUGGGGAGUACGGCCGCAAGGCUAAAACUCAAAGGAAUUGACGG
rnacentral:rRNA from 1 species